rnacentral:rRNA from 1 species
GUGGGGAAUUUUGGACAAUGGGCGCAAGCCUGAUCCAGCAAUGCCGCGUGCAGGAAGAAGGCCUUCGGGUUGUAAACUGCUUUUGUACGGAACGAAAAGGCUCUGGUUAAUACCUGGGGCUCAUGACGGUACCGUAAGAAUAAGCACCGGCUAACUACGUGCCAGCAGCCGCGGUAAUACGUAGGGUGCAAGCGUUAAUCGGAAUUACUGGGCGUAAAGCGUGCGCAGGCGGUUUUGUAAGACAGGCGUGAAAUCCCCGGGCUCAACCUGGGAAUGGCGCUUGUGACUGCAAGGCUGGAGUGCGGCAGAGGGGGAUGGAAUUCCGCGUGUAGCAGUGAAAUGCGUAGAUAUGCGGAGGAACACCGAUGGCGAAGGCUAUCCCCUGGGCCUGCACUGACGCUCAUGCACGAAAGCGUGGGGAGCAAACGGGAUUAGAAACCCCGGUAGUCC